rnacentral:lncRNA from 1 species
GCUCGGUCGGUCGGGACGGGGCCGGUUCGGCCCAAGUUGGCCGGGCCGGUCUGGUUUUCUUUUUUUUUCUGAUUUCUUUGAUAUCUUUUGAUUUUGAACUCCAAAUUGAUCCAAAUAAAUUCCAAAAAAUUUCUCAAAUCAUAUUAUAAUAUGAUUCAACUUUUGGGACUAAUUUCCCUUCCAAAUAAAAUAUAUAAAAAUACAUUUUCCUAAUAAAUGCCUUUAGGGCUUUGUAAUUAUUUAAAUAAAAUAGUUUUUCAACUCCAAAUAAAUACUCAAAAAUU